UACGAAGGGGGCUAGCGUUGUUCGGAAUUACUGGGCGUAAAGCGCACGUAGGCGGUGUUCUUUGUCAGAGGUGAAAGCCCGGGGUCACACGAUCGAUCCUUUGAAACGGGAACGCUAGAGUCCGAGAGAGGAUGGCGGAAUUCCUAGUGUAGAGGUGAAAUUCGUAGAUAUUAGGAAGAACACCAGUGGCGAAGGCGGCCAUCUGGCUCGGUACUGACGCUCAGGUGCGAAAGCGUGGGGAGCAAACAGG
rnacentral:rRNA from 1 species